CCUGCCCACUGCAGACAUAAACACCAUGGCGCUAAGGCUGGCUCCUACUGGAGUAUUGGAAGUGUUGUCCGUGGUCAGGUCCAGGCACGAUGCUUGUACGUCUCCCCGCUGAUCUCUGCGGCCCAGAAGGUGGCCAUGUCCCACCUGGACCCUGGCUCGGAGAUGCCCUACCCCACGCUGCAGGGCAACUUAGAUAUCGUCCAACAAAGAUCAUUUUGGAGAACUACUCUACGGUACUUGUCCAGCAGUUCCUCAGACCGGGUCGUGGUGACGUCGUUUGUACCUGUGUGGAGAACAAAGAGUGAGUCAUUAGAGGCCACAGCGUGGUUAUGUUAGGUUAAGUUUAGGGUAUCUUCAAACACAUGAUAGCCAGCACUUUACAGUAUAAAUCAUCAAAGAAUUCCCUCACUUAGUUGUAUAGAAAGUCUCAUUAGUAAGGAAGCAUAUAUGAAUUUUCUGAGUCAAGACCUAUUGUAACUGUUUGGGGUUUUGAUAGGUUAUGUUAGGUUAAGUUUAGGGUAUCUUCAAACACAUGAUAGCCAGCACUUUACAGUAUAAAUCAACAAAGAAUGACCUCACUUAGUUGUAUAGAAAGUCUCAUUAGUAAGGAAGCAUAUAUGAAUUUUCUGAGUCAAUCCAUAUAGUAACUCUUUGGGGUUUUGAUAGGUUAUGUUAGGUUAAGUUUAGGGCAUCUUCAAACACAUGAUAGCCAGCACUUUACAGUAUAAAUCAACAAAGAAUGACCUCACUUAGUUGUAUUGAAAGUCUCAUUAGUAAGGAAGCAUAUAUGAAUUUUCUGAGUCAAUCCAUAUAGUAACUGUUUGGGGUUUUGAUAGGUUAUGUUAGGUUAAGUUUAGGGUAUCUUCAAACACAUGAUAGCCGGCACUUUACAGUAUAAAUCAACAAAGAAUGACCUCACUUAGUUGUAUAGAAAGUCUCAUUAGUAGAGAAGCAUAUAUGAAUUUUCUGAGUCAAUCCAUAUAGUAACUGUUUGGGGUUUUGAUAGGUUAUGUUAGGAUAAGUUUAGGGUAUCUUCAAACACAUGAUAGCCAGCACUUUACAGUAUAUAUCAACAAAGAAUGACCUCACUAAGUUGUAUUCAAAGUCUCAUUAGUAAGGAAGCAUAUAUGAAUUUUCUGAGUUAAUCCAUAUAUAGUAACUGUUUCGGGUUUUGAUAGGUUAUGUUAGGUUAAGUUUAGGGUAUCUUCAAACACAUGAUAGCCAGCACUUUACAGUAUAAAUCAACAAAGAAUUCCCUCACUUAGUUGUAUAGAAAGUCUCAUUAGUAAGGAAGCAUAUAUGAAUUUUCUGAGACAAGACCUAUAGUAACUGUUAGUGGUUUUGAUAGGUUAUGUUAGGUUAAGUUUAGGGUAUCUUCAAACACAUGAUAGCCAGCACUUUACAGUAUAAAUCAACAAAGAAUGACCUCACUUAGUUGUAUAGAAAGUCUCAUUAGUAAGGAAGCAUAUAUGAAUUUUCUGAGUCAAGACCUAUAGUAACUGUUUGUGGUUUUGAUAGGUUAUGUUAGGUUAAGUUUAGGGUAUCUUCAAACACAUGAUAGCCAGCACUUUACAGUAUAAAUCAACAAAGAAUGACCUCACUUAGUUGUAUUGAAAGUCUCAUUAGUAAGGAAGCAUAUAUGAAUUUUCUGAGUCAAUCCAUAUAGUAACUGUUUGGGGUUUUGAUAGGUUAUGUUAGGUUAAGUUUAGGGUAUCUUCAAACAGAUGAUAGCCAGCAUUUUACAGUAUAUAUCAACAAAGAAUGACCUCACUUAGUUCUAUAGAAAGUCUCAUUAGUAAGGAAGCAUAUAUGAAUUUUCUGAGUCAAGACCUAUAGUAACUG